rnacentral:rRNA from 1 species
UUAAACUGAAGAGUUUGAUCAUGGCUCAGAUUGAACGCUGGCGGCAGGCUUAACACAUGCAAGUCGAACGGUAACGGGUUGAAAGCUUGCUUUCGAUGCUGACGAGUGGCGGACGGGUGAGUAAUGCUUGGGAAUCUGGCUUAUGGAGGGGGAUAACCAUUGGAAACGAUGGCUAAUACCGCAUAGUAUCGAAAGAUUAAAGGGUGGGACGUUUAGCCACCUGCCAUAAGAUGAGCCCAAGUGGGAUUAGGUAGUUGGUGGGGUAAAGGCCUACCAAGCCUGCGAUCUCUAGCUGGUCUGAGAGGAUGGCCAGCCACACUGGGACUGAGACACGGCCCAGACUCCUACGGGAGGCAGCAGUGGGGAAUAUUGCGCAA